GACGGGGGAUGCAAGCGUUAUCCGGAAUCACUGGGCGUAAAGCGUCUGUAGGCGGUGAUGCAAGUCACUGGUGCAAAACUCUGGCUCAACCGGAGGAAAGCCAGUGAAACUGCAUGACUAGAGUGUGGGAGAGGUAGAAGGAAUUCCCUGAGUAGCGGUGAAAUGCGUAGAUACAGGGAAGAACACCGGAGGCGAAAGCGUUCUACUGGAACAGAACUGACACUGAGAGACGAAAGCUAGGGGAGCGAAGGGG
rnacentral:rRNA from 1 species